rnacentral:tRNA from 1 species
GCCUGGGUGGCUCAGUCGGUUGAGCAUCUGACUUCAGCUCAGGUCAUGGUCUCACGGUUUGUGGGUUCGAGCCCCACAUCAGGCU